rnacentral:misc_RNA from 1 species
AAGUCGUAACAAGGUUUCCGUAGGUGAACCUGCGGAAGGAUCAUUAACAAUUGCGGGAGGGGAGACCCUGUUGACAUGCGACGGUGGUGGUGCGUGGGACGUGCAUGCGCGUGCGCCGUGCGUUGUGCGUGCGUCGUGCGUUGUGCGUGCGUCGUGCGUGCGUCGCGGACCGACACCACCCACCCACACGUUAUACCAUAUACGUUAGACUGGACACACUGAAUUGAAUUUAUGAUCAAUGAGACAACUUUUAACAAUGGAUCUCUGGGCUCUU